AGUUCGUCGACAUGAAUUACUAGUUAACAAUAUUCACCCUUAGCAAAAUUAUUAAACAUACACUAACAAAAAGAAUCAUUUAUUAUAAAUCAUAUUUUUAAUUUUCAGUAUGAUUCUUCGCUAUACAGCAUAGUCAUUUUCAAAAUAAUAUAUAAUCAUUCUCAAAAUAAUAAAAAAUAUAUAUGUAUAUAUAAAUUUACUAUUUGUUCACAUCUCAAACUCGUAUAUUAAUUACAAAGUUCAACUGUUUGAGCUCCUCGUUUAUAGCUUAUAGACACACUUUUAUUCGUCCCAACUUCAAUUAGUAAGUAAUUUUACUACUCAUUUUAGUCAAACUCAUAUAGUAAUACAUGUUAAAUUUGUCGAAUUGAUUUAAAAUUUAUAAAAAUCUACAAAAUCAAAUAUAGUACUAUAGCAAAUAAUAUAAAUAACAAUUUAAAAGAUAAAAGCGAAAAUGAAAGGAUAAAUUCGGAUGCUAUUAUAUGAUUAAUGAAACUCGUUUCAAAUCUAUUAACUCACAUCCCUUAACUAUUUGAAAUUCAAUAAAAAUUUAUUUUACUACUCAUUAUUGUUUCAAACCAAUUUAUAAUAUUAC
rnacentral:lncRNA from 1 species